rnacentral:rRNA from 1 species
UACGGGGGGGGCAAGCGUUGUUCGGAAUUACUGGGCGUAAAGGGCCAGUAGGCGGCCAACUAAGUCCGACGUGAAAUCCCAAGGCUUAACCUUGGAACUGCGUCGGAUACUGGAUGGCUUGAAUUCGGGAGAGGGAUGCAGAAUUCCAGGUGUAGCGGUGAAAUGCGUAGAUAUCAGGAGGAACACCGGUGGCGAAGGCGGCUUGCUGGGCCAGUUCUGACGCUGAGGAGCGAAAGCGUGGGGAGCGAACAGG